rnacentral:rRNA from 1 species
AACGAACGCUGGCGGCGUGCUUAACACAUGCAAGUCGAGUGCGCGGUUGUAGCAAUACAACUGGCGCACGGCGCACGGGUGCGUAACACGUGGGUAACCUGCCCUUUGGUGGGGAAUAACUCCGCGAAAGCGGAGCUAAUUCCGCAUAAGAUCCGCAAGGAUGAAAGCCGCAAGGCGCCGAAGGAGGGGCCCGCGCCCGA